AUAUUAUUUGUCACACCAUGUCUAAAUACUAGAUUACUUUUCUCCAUGACUUGCAUAUUAUCUGCCAUAAGAGCUAAAAUAAAUUUUGCAAAAAAGAGUAUAUAGCCAUAUUAGCUAAAACAAACUGAAUGAUUACUUACUAGUCAGGAAAUAAAUAAGAAAAAAGACCAGACAAAUAAUUCAAUUGCAUCCCAAAAUUUAACAGAUAACUUCUUCAGUGAAAAGUUUGCCAAGGUUAUACUGCAAAUUUUAAUCCCCGGAAUCUAAAUAAGCACUUACCCUAACGAUGAAAAUUUAUUAGUCUCUCAACUAUCAAUAGAAUAAAAAA
rnacentral:misc_RNA from 1 species